GUGUCGUUAGCUCAGCUGGAUAGAGCGUCUGGCUACGGACCAGAAGGUCGAGGGUUCGAAUCCUUUACGACACGCCA
rnacentral:tRNA from 1 species